CCUACGGGAGGCAGCAGUGGGGAAUAUUGCACAAUGGGGGAAACCCUGAUGCAGCGACGCCGCGUGAGUGAAGAAGUAAUUCGUUAUGUAAAGCUCUAUCAGCAGGGAAGAAAAUGACGGUACCUGAGUAAGAAGCCCCGGCUAACUACGUGCCAGCAGCCGCGGGAAUACGUAGGGGGCAAGCGGUAUCCGGAUUUACGGGGUGUAAAGGGAGCGUAGACGGCAGUGCAAGUCUGGAGUGAAAGUCGGGGGCUCAACCCCCGGAUUGCUCUGGAAACUGUACGGCUGGAGUGCAGGAGAGGUAAGUGGAAUUCCUAGUGUAGCGGUGAAAUGCGUAGAUAUUAGGAGGAACACCAGUGGCGAAGGCGGCUUACUGGACUGUAACUGACGUUGAGGCUCGAAAGCGUGGGGAGCAAACAGGAUUAGAUACCCUGGUAGUC
rnacentral:rRNA from 1 species